UCCUCCAUCAACCUGCUUCUGUACACUUUCUAGAAGCCCUGGCGGCUGUUCUUUGCCUACUGACCUCACGGGAGCAUCUUCCCACCCAGUUUCCAAGAGAGAGGUGGAGAAUUUUGUUCUCUCUUCCAGACAACAGGAUGGGUGCUGAUGCCCUGGGUUCCACACUGAGAGGUUCAGGCUGAGGGGUCGUGCCCAAGUGACCCAGACCCCAGAAGCACCAGGUCCUCCCUCAGAUCCUGGGGACACAGACACACCCCACCCAGGAUAAGAAGCUUAUGGAAUCUUCCUGACGGGAGAGAGUAUGGAUGUGAGAGUUGGACCAUAAAGAAAGCUGAGCACUGAAGAAUUGAUGGUUUUGAACUGCGGUGUUGGAGAAGACUCUUGAGAGUCCCUUGAACUGCAAGAAGAUCAAACCAAUCAAUCCUAAAGGAAAUAAGCCUUGAAUAUUCAUUGGAAGGACUGAUGCUGAAGCUCCAAUACUUUGGCCACCUGAUGUAAAGAACUGACCUAUUGGAAAAGACCCUGAUGCUGGGAAAGAUUGAAGGUGGGAGGAGAAGGGGAUGACAGAGGAUGUGAUGACAGAGGUUGGAUGGCAUCACCGACUCAAUGGACAUGAGCUUGAGCAAGCUCUGGGAGUUGGUGAUGGACAGGGAAGCCUGACAUCCUGCAGUCCAUGGGGUCGCAAAGAGUUGGACACAACUGAGAGACUGAACUGAAAAGAUAUAUAUAUAUAUAUACAAGCAUCAAUAUAGUGGACCAAGGAUUCACCCCAAGACUCCUGGUACCUGCUGUACAUGUUGGCCAGUCCUGCAACUCCACUGGGGGGACUGGAAUACAAAAGUAGGAAGUCAAGAGAUACCUGGAGUAACAGGCAAAUUUGGCCUUGGAGCACAAAAUGAAGCAGGGCAAAGGCUAAUAGAGUUCUGCUAAGAGAAUACACUGGUCAUAGCAAACACAACACAAGAGAAAACUCUACACUUGGAUACCACCAGAUGAUCAAUACCGAGAUCAGAUUGAUUACAUUCUUUGCAGCCAAAGAUGGAGAAGCUCUAAAUAGACAGCAAAAACAAGACUGGGAGCUGACUGUGGCUCAGAUCAUGAACUCCUUAUUGCCAAAUUCAGACUUAAAUUGAAGAAAGUAGAGAAAACCAUUCACAUAUGACCUAAAUCAAAUCCCUUACGAUUAUACAGUAGAAGUGACAAACAGAUUCAAGGUAUUAGAUCUGAUAGACAGAGUGCCUGAAGAACUAUGGAAAGAGGUUCAUGACAUUGUACAGGAGGUAGUGAUCAAGACCACCCCAAGAAAAUGAAAUGCAAAAAGGCAAAAUGGCUGUCUGAGGAGGCCUUACAAAUAGCUGUGAAAAGAAGAGAAGCUAAAGGCAAAGGAGAAAAGAAAACAUAUACCCAUUUGAAUGCAGAGUUCCAAAGAAUAGCAAGGAGAGAUAAGAAAGCCUUCUUUAGCGAUCAAUGCAAAGAAAUAGAGGAAAACAAUAGAAUGGGAAUGACUAGAGAUCUCUUCAAGAAAAUUAGAGAUACCAAGGGUACAUUUCAUGGAAAGAUAGGCACAAUAAAGGACAGGAAUAGUAUGGACCUAACAGCAAUAGAAGAUAUUAAGAAGAGGUGGCAAGAAUACACGGAACUACGCAAAAAAGAUCUUGGUGACCCAGUUAACCACGAUUGUGUGAUCACUCACCUAGAGCCAGACAUCCUGGAAUGUGAAGUCAAGUAGGCUUUAAGAAGCAUCACUACAAAGCUAGUGGAGGUGAUGGAAUUUCAGUUGAGCUAUUUCAAAUCCUAAAAGAUGAUGCUGUGAAAGUGCUGCACUCAAUAUGUCAGCAAAUUUAGAAAACUCAGUAGUGGCCACAGGAAUGGAAAAAGUCACUUUUCAUUCUAAUCCCAAAGAAAGGCAAUGCCAAAGGAUGUUCAAACUACUGCACAAUUGCACUCAUCCCACACUAGCAAAGUAAACUUCAAUAGUACGUGAACUGGGAACUUCCAGAUGUUCAAGCUGGAUUUAGAAAAGGCAGAACAAGAGAUCAAAUUGCCAACAUCUGUUGGAUCACCAAAAAAGCAAAAGAGUUCCAGAAAAACAUCUACUUCUGCUUUAUUGACUAUGCCAAAACCUUUGACUGUGUGGAUCAUAACACACUGUGGGAAAUUCUUAAAGAGAUGGGAAUAUCAGACCACCUUACCUGCCUCCUGAGAAAUCUGUAUGCAAGUCAAGAAGCAACAGUUAGAACUGGACAUGGAAUAACAACUGGUUUUAAAUUGGGAAAGGAGCAUGUCAGGCUGUAUAUUUUCACCCUGUUUAUUUAAAUUAUAUGCAAAGUACAUCAUGCAAAAUGCCAGGCUGGAUGAAGCACAAGCUGGAAUCAAGAUUGCAGGAGAGAUAUCAAUAACCUCAGAUAUGCAGAUGAUACCACCCUUAUGGCAGAAAGCGAAGAAGAACUAGAGUAUCUUGAUGAAAGUGAAAGAGGCAAGUGAAAAGCCUGACUUAAAACUCAACAUUCAGAAAACUAAGAUCAUGGCAUCUGGUCACAUCACUUCAUGGCAAAUAAACGGGGAAACAAUGGAAACAGUGAAAGACUCUAUUUUUUGGGCUCCAAAAUUACUGCAGAUGGUGACUGAAGCCAUGAAAUUAAAAGACACUUGCUCCUUGGAAGAAAAGUCAUGACCAAACUAGACAGCAUAUUAAAAAGCAGAGACAUUACUUUGUCAACAAAAGUCUGUACAGUCAAAACUAUGAUUUUUCCUGUAGUCAUGUAUGGAUGUGAGAGUUGGACUAUGAAGAAAGCUGAGCACUGAAGAAUUGAUGCUUUUGAACUAUGGUGCUGGAGAAGACUCUUGAGAGUCCCUUGGACUGCAAGGAGAUCCAACCUGUCCAUCCUAAAGGAAAUCAUUCCUGAAUAUUCAUUGCAAGGACUGAUGCUGAAGCUGAAACUCUAAUACUUUGGCCACCUGAUGUGAAAAACUGACUCAUUUGGAAAGAUCGAGAUGCUGGGAAAAAUUGAAGGUGGGAGGAGAAGGGGACGACAAAGGAUGAGAUGGUUGGAUGGCAUCACUGACUCAAUGGACAUGAGUUUGAGUAAACUCUGGGAGCUGGUGAUGGACAGGGAAGCCUGGUGUGCUGCAGUCCAUGGGGUAGCAAAGAGUCGGACAUGACUGAACAACUGAACUAAACUGAAGAAAUUUAAGCCUGCCAUUUACUCUUUUCAAUAUAUUAGGGGCACUUAAUGACAGCCACCAAAAUCCAGUUUUUUAGUCACCAUUUCUUCUUUUGUAAAUGCCAAAGAAUAUCACCUACUGUAUGCCUUUUUGCCUUUAUCUCAUCCAGUUUCCUACAUGUGAAUGUUUAGCAACUGCAUUAUUAGAGCACACCAUGGACCAUCAAUGCACUAUCUGACAGGCUGUGAUCCAACUCCAGAGCCCAUUCUUAGCCUGCUUGCUCGGACCAUGAUCUUAAGUUGAGUUCCUUAGAAACAGACUCUGCGAUAAAGUCUCUUACUUAAGUAA